ensembl:Mt_tRNA
GCCCCCAUAGCUUAACCAAAAGCAUGGCACUGAAGAUGCCAAGACGGUAGCAUAAUUACCUGUGGGC